ensembl:miRNA
CUGGAUUAUCUUUAAGGUCCCUACCAACCCGGACCAUUCUAUGAUUCUCUGAUUCUAAAAGUUAUCACAGAAUCGCAGAAUGGCUGAGGCUGAAAGAGACAUCUGGAUCCAUCUGG